rnacentral:ncRNA from 1 species
GUUCUGGGCCGCACGCGCGCUACACUGAUGUAUUCAACGAGUAUAUAGCCUUGGCCGACAGGCCCGGGUAAUCUUGGGAAAUUUCAUCGUGAUGGGGAUAGAUCAUUGCAAUUGUUGGGAUUCAACGAGGAAUGCCUAGUAAGCGCGAGUCAUCAGCUCGCGUUGACUACGUCCCUGCCCUUUGUACACACCGCCCGUCGCUCCUACCGAUUGAAUGGUCCGGUGAAGUGUUCGGAUCGCGGCGACGGGGGCGG